rnacentral:tRNA from 1 species
GGAUCCUUAGCUCAGUGGUAGAGCGUGUUCAGGACGUCUCGAUGUGAGUCGCGUUCCCCCCCGCCACCAGGCUGCCGCCAGGCAGCCACGCGUUCCUCCCGUCGUCCAGGUGAACAAGGUCCUCGGUUCAAUUCCGAGAGGGUCCA